rnacentral:rRNA from 1 species
UACGGGGGGGGCAAGCGUUGUUCGGAAUUACUGGGCGUAAAGGGCUCGUAGGCGGCCAACUAAGUCAGACGUGAAAUCCCUCGGCUUAACCGGGGAACUGCGUCUGAUACUGGAUGGCUUGAGGUUGGGAGAGGGAUGCGGAAUUCCAGGUGUAGCGGUGAAAUGCGUAGAUAUCCGAAGGAACACCGGUGGCGAAAGCGGCGCGCUGGACCUCUUCUGACGCUGAGGCGCGAAAGCCAGGGGAGCAAACGGG